rnacentral:rRNA from 1 species
CAGUCGCCGCGGGAAUACGGAGGGGGCUAGCGUUGUUCGGAAUUACUGGGCGUAAAGCGCACGUAAGCGGCUUGGUAAGUUAGAGGUGAAAGCCCGGAGCUCAACUCCGGAAUUGCCUUUAAGACUGCCGAGCUAGCAGGUGAGAGAGGUAAGUGGAAUUCCGAGUGUAGAGGUGAAAUUCGUAGAUAUUUGGAAGAACACCAGUGGCGAAGGCGGCUUACUGGCUCAUACUGGACGCUGAGGUGCGAAAGCGUGGGGAGCAAACAGGAUUAGAUACCCGAGUAGUCCCUGUCUCUUAUAA